UACGUAGGGGGCAAGCGUUGUCCGGAAUCAUUGGGCGUAAAGCGCGUGUAGGCGGCCCGGUAAGUCCGCUGUGAAAGUCCAGGGCUCAACCCUGGGAUGCCGGUGGAUACUGUCGGGCUCGAGUCCGGAAGAGGAGUGUGGAAUUCCUGGUGUAGCGGUGAAAUGCGCAGAUAUCAGGAAGAACACCAAUGGCGAAGGCAGCUCUCUGGGACGGUACUGACGCUGAGACGCGAAAGCGUGGGGAGCGAACAGG
rnacentral:rRNA from 1 species